AUCUUUGCGCUUGGGGCAAUGACGCAGCUAGUGAGGUUAUACCGAGGCGCGUCAAUUGCUGGUUGAAAACUAUUUCCAAACCCCCUCUGCGGCCCAUCCGGGCCUCAGAGAAUUUCUGGAAGGGCUCCCUAACUAGGGUAAAGCC
rfam:Oryza glaberrima chromosome 2 Oglab02_0303_8, whole genome shotgun sequence.